ACUUUUAAAGGAUGGCAGCUAUCCGUUGACCUUAGGAGUCAAAAACAUUGGUGCAACUCCAAAUAAAAGUA
rnacentral:tRNA from 2 species